GAAAGAUUUACUAUGAGCUUGAUGACGAGCGAACUAAGGCAGAUGGAAAGGACGUUGCAAUAUGUAGAGUUGAACAACUUUGCCCCUUUCCUUAUGACCUUAUCCAGCGGGAGCUGAAGCGAUAUCCGAAUGCCGAGAUCGUCUGGUGCCAGGAGGAGCCAAUGAACAUGGGUGCAUUUACCUACAUUUCUCCCCGUCUUGCCACUGCCAUGAGGGCUCUUGGAAGAGGCUCGUCAGAAGACAUUAAAUAUGUGGG
rnacentral:misc_RNA from 1 species